UGAUGAGCAAUUGUAGUUUUACAUUCUGAAUUCCCACGUUAUACAAAUCCUUUGCAAAUACUCUGUUUUUCAUAUGUGGAGGAUGCCUGUUUGCUGGAAACCACCUGCACAACCUCAUGGGAGUUCAUCUUUCUAAAUAGCAAAGCAACUUUAUUCACAAGUUGAAGGUAUAUAACUUCCUAUGUGAUCUCACCUCUACCAGUAGCAAGAAUGGAAAGAGGGGAGCUGAAUACUAGUGCAGCUGAAAUUGUUACAUAAACGAGUUUUCCAGAUUACUGUAGCAGUUUGUUGUGGUGGAAAAGUGCUGAAGGUUGAAGGAGGAAUGCUGGAUCCAGACGCUUCAUAUCCUCUUCAGAGAGCAGAUCUGGAACAGCUAUUGGAGAUGUCUGAUCUACACUCAGCUCUGGAGAUCCAGAUACGCUUCUAGGAUCAGUGAAGUUCAGGAGUAAAUACAGAGUUGGGUCACAGUAGGAACUGUGCACAAAUUCUUGAAGCCCAGAAGAUUGUUGCAAAGAAAGAGUGGAUUUUUUGUGGAUCACUUUGUGAGAGUAUCAAAUCAAGUUGCAGUAAAUAUGUAUAAGCAACUAGGCUACAGCAUGUACCGGACAGUAUUAGAGUACGACUCUGCUAGCAGUGGGGAGCCAGAUGAAGAUGCUUAUGACUCUCUUGCCCUCACAUGCCACGCCCUUCUGAAAAUUGGAAUGGCUUAUAAGUAGCUUUCCAUCGUGAGGGUGGAGUGUAUGGGAAAAUCCAGAAGAAUGUUGAGGAGACAGGCAAUGGAAGCUAGCCAGACCAUUCUGUGGAAAAGUAGCAUCAACAGAGCAUGGUGACCCAUAGCCGUGGUCCCAUGACUGGGCCCAUGCCAGUGUGGUGCUACACCUGCGCUUUGAAUCAAAAUCAGCGUUGAGCUCAAAACAUGUACUGCACAUGUGUAUAGUACAUAAAACCCCUUUACAGUGCCCGCACCGCAUUCCUCGCCAUGGACUGAUGCUCAGCGAUGCUUUGGAUUCUUCCUCGGCUUCGUUGCCUCAAUCGGGAAACUUCCGGGGACUGCCCGCUUAGACGCAGAGGUAAUAAAUGCUCAGU